UACGUAGGGGGCAAGCGUUGUCCGGAGUACUGGGCGUAAAGCGCACGCAGGCGGUCGGCUGCGUAGGUGGUGACAGUCCUCGGCUUACCUGAGGAAGCGCUGCCUAAACGGGUCGACUUGAGGGCCAGAGAGGGACACGGAACUCCGGGUGGAGCGGUGAAAUGCGUAGAGAUACCGGAGGAACACCGACGGCGUAGGCAGCGCCCUGGACGACACCUGACGCUGAGGCACGAAAGCUGGGGGAGCGAACAGG
rnacentral:rRNA from 1 species